UAAAGCGUGCGCAGGCGGUUUUGUAAGACUGUCGUGAAAUCCCCGGGCUCAACCUGGGAAUGGCGAUGGUGACUGCAAGGCUAGAGUUUGGCAGAGGGGGUAGAAUUCCACGUGUAGCAGUGAAAUGCGUAGAUAUGUGGAGGAACACCGAUGGCGAAGGCAGCCCCCUGGGUCAAAACUGACGCUCAUGCACGAAAGCGUGGGGAGCAAACAGGAUUAGAUACCCCUGU
rnacentral:rRNA from 1 species